GCUGACAGUGAAACAAAAUCUUUAAAUAGGAAGAUAAGUAAUUUGGAAGAUACCCCUGGAAUACCUCUCUUCCUAAUAAAAGUCAUUUAAUGUCACCUCCAUUUCCAGACUUCAUCAAACUCUUCAUUAAAAUGAUCAUUCCCUACCUUGUGUCUCUGCUAUGACCAGUUCUGCCCCCACUAUAAUAUCUAUACUUUUAUAAAUUCUCCUUUAACUUCAUGGAAGUCCCUUCAAGUGAAAAACUGUUGAACUUAUCUUCCCAUCUUGAAGAUCGGAUAAAGAGAACUGGAGAUUCCCUGGAGAAGUUUUGCAUGUAAGUCUUUUAGCAGUGAUCUUUGGAACAAAGUUAUGAAGGAGUCAAGGCAAGCAAAGAUGAGCAG